CACACAGACUAGGGGUGCUGCCGACGAUCCCGCAGGGGUGGUCCGGCGGCUGAGAAACACCCUCGGAACCUGAUCCGGCUUGCAUCGGCGUAGGGAAGUCUGUCUGGCACAAC
rnacentral:ncRNA from 2 species